rnacentral:rRNA from 1 species
AUGGUGCCCUUGGAGCAGCGUCAGCGUGCCCGGCGCUUGCUCUGGUCGCCGUGGAUUCUCCGACGAACUCCUAGCCCUUUCCUGGGUGUGAUGGUGGUCAGACCACAGCCAUGGUGUGGCUUUGUUUAUACUACGGCUCCAUCCCCUCUUGGGUCAUGUGAUGCUAGAAGAAUGAGCAUACGCAUUACAACAGGAGGCACUGACGGCCCAUGCAGACGGGCGUGGGGAAUGGAGACGGCAAAAUUGUACUCCCUCCAGUGUUGUUUCAUAAACGCUCUUAUAUUAUGGGACGGAGGGUUUCAUAAACGCUCUUAUAUUAUGGGACGGAGGGAGUACGUCUAA